rnacentral:sRNA from 2 species
CCUGAUCUGGAGCCGAACCCUGCCAGCAGAUCAGCAGCACGAGUCACCCACUGGCAGGGGCGGGGGAACCACAACCGGCUGUUUCUAACAGCCUUGGGGUGAAGUCCGCAGCAGCAAGUCUCUUCCGCAGAAGGAAUCCUCCUGGGAUACCCCUGUGCCGGAAUGGCUUGUUACGGCGGACCGGGUCCGAACUCUCUGACCCGAAUCCGACAGCUAACUUCGCAGGCUAUCCAGAGAGGAAAC